UUAGUUGCAUCUUUGUUUUGAUUUAAUGCAGGUCCAAGCUGGGGCGACAUCAGCUCAGGGAGAAUAACCAAUUGGCUUGUUCUCAAGAACCUCACGCCUCAGAUUGAUGGCUCUACUUUGCGUACACUGUGCAUGCAGCACGGCCCACUAAUAACAUUCCACCUUAACCUACCCCAUGGAAACGCUUUGGUCUGUUACAGUUCGAAGGAAGAGGCAGCCAAGGCACAGAAAUCUCUACACAUGUGUGUUUUAGGGAACACUACCAUUCUUGCUGAGUUUGCCAGUGAAGACGAGAUUAAUCGCUUCUUUGCACAAGGCCAGUCGCUGACCCCCUCUCUGGGCUGGCAAUCUCUGGGAUCCAGCCAGAACCGUAUUGCAUCCAUUGACAGUUCCCACCCAUUCUCAAAUCGCAAUGAUCUCAAUCACUGGAAUGGUGCUGGGUUGUCAGGAACAGGUAGUGGAGACCUCCACGGCACUUCACUCUGGGGCACCCCCAAUUAUUCCACAAGCCUCUGGGGAACCCCAAGCAGCAAUGACACGCGGGGAAUUGGCAGCCCCUCCCCCAUCAAUGCUUUCCUCCCUGUUGACCACCUUGGAAGUGGAGAGUCCAUCUGAACUUUACUCAUGACUCAAACUGUGACCUCUACAUGAAAAGCAGCACUAAUUGGACUUUUCACCUACAGCGUGAGAGAAAUGGGGGAAAAAGGGGUCACCUGUGGAAAUGUUCCGUUCUGCACCUUUAUUUCCACUUUCUUUUAGCCCAGAACAUAUCAGUUUUAAUACUUGAAUCAUGCAGGCCAAUAGUUAAAAAUGUGAAAAAGUAUAUAUUUAUACUUCCAGAUAGUGCUAUCCAUUUAAAAAGAAAAAAAAAACUGCUUCAAAUGAGCUAGUUUGUGUGCACUCAUCAUGUUUGUUCCUUAAAUUCCAAAACUUUGAGUUAGCUGAUGGGAGUGUGAGCUGUUAAUCUGCACUGAGUACUGUCUCCCUGUCCGAUUGGCAAUAGGGCGGGGUGGGGGGGAGAGGGUAGUUCAAGUGUAAAUGUUUACUCAAGGAUGUUCUUUUAGCAAGGAAAAAAUGGACAAAGUGUGCUCUUUAAUAUGCCUUGACAUGUACUUACCUUAAUGUGGUAUUGUAGAGCAAGGUCGUUAUCAUACUGACUUUGCAAUUUCAAAAAGUAUUGCACCAAUCUGUUUCUUUUGAAAACGUUUUAAUAUGAUAAAAUGAAAACCUAAAGAAUUUAAUCUCUACAGUGUGACACUGUGGGCAGCAGCUGUGACUUGCAACCCCACCCUGCAAGCCAGGAGGGUACAGCACUUUCAAUAGAGCUUUCAUUUUUUUUUUUUGGAGGUGCCCUGGUCGUGCCCUCUUGUUUACAGACUUUCGAGGGGAAAUGUUUACUCUUCCAUCAUUCAUAAAAAUGAAAAAUAGAAAAAAAAAUUAAAAAAAUAUUUAAAAAAAAAAUUGCAGAUGAAGAUGUUCUAUCUCUGGGAAUAUUGAACAGUGUUUUGACCAUGUUCUUUUUUUUUCUAUUCCUCUAUAUCCUGAAACAAGAGAGAGCAUGGUUCUCAGGAAAUAGUUCCCCCCUCCCCGCCUCCGACACAGUAGAAACUCCUGGUAGAUUUGUGUAAGAAACCCCCAACUUUAGCACUGAAUUAAACUGCUCUGUAAAAGUUACCUUUUUUUGCCAAGUUAAACUGCUUCAAGCUGGAGUUUCCAGUCAUUGCUUUGAAAUUGCUGUCUUUUUAUAGUGAGUGAAGGUGACAUGUUGUAGUAUAUAUACUUUAUUUUUUCCCUCCUUUAUAUUCCCAUUAUUGAGUGGCUAAAUGUAUUUUGCUAUUGUGACUGUGUCCAAUGACUGUUGUACUUAAAAAGAGAAACUGGCUGAGAUCUGUAACUAUGCAUACUGUAACCAGCUCUGAUGGUUUACAGAAUCAUAUCGUUCAUCUGUAAGAGGGUGUUUUUAAUGUAAAAGUUGCAUAUGAGUCCUACAGAAAACAAAUUACUUUACACUUUUUUUGUUUUUUUUUGCCACUAAAUGUAUUCAUUUGUGCUUGUACAGAGAGCAGAUAAACCAGGACACAAUUUUAACACUGCAGACAAUGCCACCAUUUCAUUGCCUUCAUUAUAACUGUCUGUUGGAAGAUGCAAACAAGUCAGUGGCUUUUUAACUGUUUACAAAUAGAAUGUGAUUGUAAAAUGUAUAAUUUGGUUGUGUUGAAUUAUGAAGUUACUUCAAAUAUUAAUAAAUCAUGACUUUUUUUGGCUGCUCAGCAUUUAUAUCCCUUCAGUUCUGUUAUUUCUGCACAAUGGUUUUAUCUGUAGUGGUUGUUUCCUUUUCUGGUGUUUCAAUCCAAGUUCAAAGCUGUGCAUGUUAAGUUCAAGAAACAUGCAUGCACCCUCUCAACCCACUGCCUCGUCGCCUGUAUAUGCAAAGCACAAGGGCUCGUUGUUCAGCACAGGUCAGAGUGCAGUUAGCAGAUGGCAUGUUGUUUUAAUCUGUUGUUGUAGCCUGGUUCCACAGGAAGCUUGCACUCUCAGGAGUGACGUUAAAACUCCAAAGCCAAGUAGAAGGCUGAUUGUUUUUGUGUGGGGCAGUACAAUAACAUGGAAAAAGAUACUCUGGUGAUUCGUGUACUGCUCCCAAUCCAAGUAGGAAAAUGUUCCUGACCUUCAGGAAAAGGAUGACUUUCUGUAUGUUUUCAUGCUGUCCAGUUUUUUUCCAAGCUUACUAGUUCCAUCCCUUCGCAAUAUGAACGAGGCCUCCUAGC